rnacentral:rRNA from 1 species
AAUCGAAGCAAUGACUCAGUCUUCUCUGGGUUGUUGGUCAACUGUAGCAAAUCCCGCACCUGAUGGUCCCAUAGAUUAGGACAAACGAGGGGUGCGAAAGCACGUACUCGCAGUCACGUCCGGGUCCCCUAACGGAAGCGGUAGCCACAAGGAGGCGUAUAGAUGCGUAAAGUGACGAUGUGCGCCUUAAGGUAGGGGGAGACGGCGUGAGGUCGAAACGUCAGUGUUAGCGUUAAGGGUCCAACUCGGGCCCCUAAAGUGCUGACAGAAUGUUUUGGCGGACGCGUGCGAAAUGCGGGUCAUUAAGGCUAAUUGCGAACGUGGGAUGCAUAAUGGCGCCGACGACCGUGCAUCAAUCGGCCACGAAUAAGAAUGCCAUGGCAGUAAUCGGGUCCCAUAAUUGGGUCUGGCAAAGCAAGGCAUGUUUUCGUCAAAUGUUGGGCUUCCGGAAGAAGGACGUGCGCCGUAACGACCUAGUCCGAACGCGGGUAACAGGUUUUAAGGGGUGACGACGGAGGGCAUC